AUUGAACGCUGGCGGCAGGCCUAACACAUGCAAGUCGAACGAGUGGCGGACGGGUGAGUAAUGUCUGGGAAACUGCCCGAUGGAGGGGGAUAACUACUGGAAACGGUAGCUAAUACCGCAUACCAUCGGAUGUUCCCAGAUGGGAUUAGGUAGUAGGUGGGGUAACGGCUCACCCAGCCGACGAUCCCUAGCUGGUCUGAGAGGAUGACCAGCCACACUGGAACGGAGACACGGUCCAGACUCCUACGGGAGGCAGCAGUGGGGAAUAGUGCACAAUGGGGGCAAGCCUGAUGCAGCCAUGCCGCGUGUAUGAAGAAGGCCUUCGGGUUGUAAAGUACUUUCAGCGGGGAGGCGUUACUCGCAGAAGAAGCACCGGCUAACUCCGUGCCAGCAGCCGCGGUAAUAC
rnacentral:rRNA from 1 species